rnacentral:rRNA from 1 species
GAUGAACGCUGGCGGCGUGCCUAAUACAUGCAAGUCGAGCGAGAAUCUGAUGACUUGAGAUUCGUCAAUAUGAUUCAGAGGAAAGCGGCGGACGGGUGAGUAACGCGUAGGCAACCUGCCCUUAGCAGAGGGAUCGCCAUUGGAAACGAUGAUUAAAACCUCAUAAUGCUGUGAGAUCACAUGGCUUUGCAGCCAAAGAUUUAUCGGCUAAGGAUGGGCCUGCGUCUGAUUAACUAGUUGGUGAGGUAACGGCUCACCAAAGUGACGAUCAGGAGCCGACCGUAGAUGGUGAUCGGACACAUUGGAACUGAGACACGGUGCAAACUUCUACCGAAGGCAGGAGGAAGGAAUCUUGCACCAUGGGGGAAACCCUGAUGCAGCAACGCCGCAUGAACGAUGAAGGCCUUCGGGUUGUAAAGGUCUGAUCUUGGGGAAGAAGAAAGUGACGGUACCCAAGGAGAAAGCCCCGGCUAACUACGUGCCAGCAGCCGCGGUAACAC